CAAAGAGAAGCGAAGCGGUGACGUGGAGCAAACCUCNGAAAGCCAAUCCCAGUUCGGAUUGUAGGCUGCAACUCGCCUACAUGAAGUUGGAAUCGCUAGUAAUCGCGAAUCAGAAUGUCGCGGUGAAUACGUUCCCGGGUCUUGUACACACCGCCCGUCACACCACGAGAGUUUACAACACCCGAAGUCAGUGGCCUAACCGCAAGGAGGGAGCUGCCUAAGGUGGGGUAGAUGAUUGGGGUGAAGUCGUAACAAGGUAAC
rnacentral:rRNA from 1 species